GACGAACGCUGGCGGCGUGCUUAACACAUGCAAGUCGAACGGAAAGGCCCUGCUUUUGUGGGGUGCUCGAGUGGCGAACGGGUGAGUAACACGUGAGUAACCUGCCCUUGACUUUGGGAUAACUUCAGGAAACUGGGGCUAAUACCGGAUAGGAGCUCCUGCUGCAUGGUGGGGGUUGGACAGUUUCGGCGGUUGGGGAUGGACUCGCGGCUUAUCAGCUUGUUGGUGGGGUAGUGGCUUACCAAGGCUUUGACGGGUAGCCGGCCUGAGAGGGUGACCGGACAAAUUGGGACUGAGAUACGGCCCAGACUCCUACGGGAGGCAGCAGUGGGGAAUAUUGCACAAUGGGCGGAAGCCUGAUGCAGCAACGCCGCGUGCGGGAUGACGGCCUUCGGGUUGUAAACCGCUUUCGCCUGUGACGAAGCGUGAGUGACGGUAAUGGGUAAAGAAGCACCGGCUAACUACGUG
rnacentral:rRNA from 1 species